CCUACGGGUGGCAGCAGUGAGGAAUAUUGGUCAAUGGGCGCGAGCCUGAACCAGCCAAGUAGCGUGAAGGAUGACUGCCCUACGGUUUGUAAACUUCUUUUAUAAAGGAAUAAAGGUAUGCACGUGUGCCUUUUUGCAUGUACUUUAUGAAUAAGCAUCGGCUAACUCCGUGCCAGCAGCCGCGGUAAUACGGAGGAUCCGAGCGUUAUCCGGAUUUAUUGGGUUUAAAGGGUGCGUAGAUGGGUUGUUAAGUCAGGUGUGAAAGUUUGCGGCUCAACCGUAAAAUUGCAAUUGAUACUGGCAGUCUUGAGUACAGGAGAGGUAGGCGGAAUGCGUGGUGUAGCGGUGAAAUGCUUAGAUAUCACGAAGAACCCCGAUUGCGAAGGCAGCUUACUAAACUGCCACUGACAUUGAUGCUCGAAAGUGUGGGUAUCAAACAGGAUUAGAUACCCGAGUAGUC
rnacentral:rRNA from 1 species